rnacentral:rRNA from 1 species
CAGCCGCCGCGGUAAUACGUAGGUGGCGAGCGUUGUCCGGAAUUAUUGGGCGUAAAGGGCUCGCAGGCGGUUUCUUAAGUCUGAUGUGAAAGCCCCCGGCUCAACCGGGGAGGGUCAUUGGAAACUGGGAAACUUGAGUGCAGAAGAGGAGAGUGGAAUUCCACGUGUAGCGGUGAAAUGCGUAGAGAUGUGAAGGAACACCAGUGGCGAAGGCGACUCUCUGGUCUGUAACUGACGCUGAGGAGCGAAAGCGUGGGGAGCGAACAGGAUUAGAUACCCCAGUAGUCCCUGUCUCUUAUAC